rnacentral:rRNA from 1 species
UACGUAGGGGGCGAGCGUUGUCCGGAUUUACUGGGCGUAAAGCGCGCGUAGGCGGGAGGUGAAGUCCGGUGGGAAAGCCCACGGCUCAACCGUGGAAGAACGCUGGAAACUCACCUUCUUGAGGGCGGCAGAGGGAAGUGGAAUUGCUGGUGUAGCGGUGAAAUGCGUAGAUAUCAGCAGGAACACCCGUGGCGAAGGCGGCUUCCUGGGCCGCCCCUGACGCUGAGGCCGCGAAAGCGUGGGGAGCGAACGGG